GCGCCCAUAGCUCAGCUGGAUAGAGCGCAAGCUUGCGGAGCUUGAGGUCAGAGGUUCAAAUCCUCUUGGGCGCA
rnacentral:tRNA from 1 species